UUAAUACGUGUAGUUACUUAUAUCUUGUAGUCACAUGCACUCUACCGGAUAGGUAAUGUAAUACACAUUUGAUGUAGAGGUGAAUAGCGUAAGCUGUCAUGCACGAUAGUGAAAGGCAUUGCUGCCACCAUCUGGAAUAAAAGAAUCCUACACAUUUCGAAUGCAAUAUUCAUUUCUCUUAAACUUGUCCUCAGGGCCCCAGCAUGAAUGUGCGGACAAUAGACCACGUUAGCCCUCUUCAUGACGUGUACAUAGAGAGCCAUGUUGCCUGUUCCAGAGCACUGAUAGAUGCUGGAGCCAGCGUCUCUGCAGGGAUGAUUGGUUAAUGUGACAACUGAAGAUGGAGUGUCUCCAUUGCUUAAUUCCAGCUCAGCCGGCCGUUUAGGAUGUCUAGACACUGUGCAAGUAGAUAAACAAACAGCAGUUUUAUGGCAAUCAGUUUAAAACAACCAGCCUAUAAUUAAAGUGCAAAUGUGCAGAGAGGCACACAUUUAGAGAGUCCUCUUCAUGCAGAAGCCCAGAAAGACUGAAUAAGCAUAGUGAAGCUCCUGCUGGAAUUUGGGGCAGAUGUAAAUGCACGCAACCUGGGAGUAUAAGCGGUCCAUGGAGGAUGCUCCUCCAGGGAGCCUUACCGAUGGAUUUCCUAUUGAUUUAUGAAGUGACACCCGUUAUCUGUGUCAACUGUGCCGUCAGCAAAUCAGGGAGAGUUUGGGAUGUUCCCGACUCUACCACAUUAGCCCCUCCCUAAAGCCAUGAAGAACUUUCUACAAUAUAGAUAAUGUUCUUAUGUUUGCUUGGUUUUACUGUACUAAUGACUUACUUUGACUUAUAGCCUAAAUAAUAAAAGCUGUUUUUACCUUU